UACAGGGGGGGCAAGCGUUGCUCGGAAUCACUGGGCGUAAAGGGUGCGUAGGCGGGUCUUUAAGUCAGGGGUGAAAUCCUGGAGCUCAACUCCAGAACUGCCUUUGAUACUGAGGAUCUUGAGUUCGGGAGAGGUGAGUGGAACUGCGAGUGUAGAGGUGAAAUUCGUAGAUAUUCGCAAGAACACCAGUGGCGAAGGCGGCUCACUGGCCCGAUACUGACGCUGAGGCACGAAAGCGUGGGGAGCAAACAGG
rnacentral:rRNA from 1 species